CUCUCUCUCUCCCCGACCUCUAUCUCGUCCUCCCACUGCCAGCACCGGAAAACACCAUCUCCGGCCAUUAUCUCGCAAAAUCGCCACCACCCAUCAACGCAGCACCAAAAUGCGACCUAAACCCAAGAGAAAUCGAAGCCACGCAUCGACCCGACCUCUCUCUUCCGCUCUCCUUCUCUCUUCCAUCACCGGGAAACCCAACUUCUGGUUACCACCUCACGUCACCGCCACCAUCCUUCGAACCAGCUCCCAAUUUCGAUCAAAACCCAAAGGCAGCUACCCCAACCGACGCGGAAAAUCAACCGUACACACCACCGCCGAUGGCAUCGAAUCUGCAUGCCUUCGUUCUCCAACCUCCAGUUCAAAUCGAGCUAAACCACCUCCAUAAAUGGAAUCAGCGCCUCACUACCCACCAAUAGCCCGUAACCUAGACCUCCGAUUUCGACCGGAGCCACCCAGCACCGCCGUGAGAGCCACCGACUUACCUUUUUCGUCCGGUAAGCUAUAUUUCGUCCUCUCCCUUUGGAUAAUGCCAUGAGUCAUUGUGAAUCGAAAAGCCUAAUUCACUGCUCUCUGAUUUGGAAUAUGAGGUUUGUGGAAUCUAGAAAAUUGAAGCUUUGGAGAAGAAAUGAGCUACUGGGUCAGUUUCGACUGAAGUCGAAAUAAGGAAUUCAGAUGGUUAAUGGAUGUGGAAUUCUGCGUUUUUGGAGUGUUGGAGGAGAGGAAGCUGCUGGGUUAAUUUCAGUUGAAACUGGAAAAGGUGUUACACGAUUGUUGAUGGUAGAUUGCAGCAAUUGGAACUAGCCCUCAGUUUGGAGAAGAAGAAUUGGACUCGAGCGUGUGCACUUGGAAUUAGACGAAGGAUUGAAAGUCGGAAACGGAUCCAAGUGUGGACGAGCACUCCAAUUCCAGG